GCUGGCGACCAUAGCAAGAGUGAACCACCUGAUCCCUUCCCGAACUCAGAAGUGAAACCUCUUAGCGCUGAUGGUAGUGUGGGGUUACCCAUGUGAGAGUAA
rnacentral:rRNA from 1 species